AGGGACUGCCUUUACUCCUUCCUGAUUGUCUUCCUGUAUUUCUUCCUCUCAAGGAACUGUGUCAGAAUGUGCCAGUUACCCCAUUAUUACCCUGGGAAAGCACUGGAAACAAAGUGAAGUAGAAAUAGCUGCUUUUCAUACAGAAAUUGGGAAAAUAAAUGAUGAGGGGGCUAAUCCUGUAAUAAUUUGGAGAUUCAUAUAUCUGCUUAAUUCUUAACAAUAAGCAUUGAAAAUAGAAGGGGCUACCUUAGGUAAAGUAGUUUGUUAAUCUUAAAUCGUUAUAGAAAUGUUAACUUUUGAUUAAUUGAUUAGGCGACAGUGAGUUUCCAUUCACUGGAAUUCUUUUAGCCAAGGUAGGUGGACCACUUUUUGGAGAAGCUGAUUUGUAGAGGGUAUUCUUCGGUAUAGGCUAUUCUAGAAUCCCUCUAAGUCCCUAUCUUAUUUUGAUAUUCAAUGGAAACUAGAUGUGUAAGAGAGUAAUGAGUGUGUGUGUGUGUGUGUGUGUGUGUGUGUGUGUGUGUGUGUGUGUGUGUGUGAUCCAGUUCCCAGGUGGGAGAGCCUGGAAAGCCAUGAUGCUGGGGAAUGGAAAGACUCUGCCCUCCAAUUUGGAAAGUGCAGUGGGCAGAUGAGAACAUUUUGUUCCAACAUCCUUGAAGAUGGCUGAAGCUGCAAUGGUGGAUUGCUUAGAACUUGAUCAGACAUCAAAGAUGCCAAGGCCAUCCACUGUACCCUGAGUCAUCAAAAACCAUCCUGACUUCUGUUUUGCCACUGGACUUAGAUGACUGGAAGAGAGAGUGAAGCUGAUGACUUUGUGUAACUUUGCCUCAUUUAAAUCCAAAUCAUUCACAAGUCAACUCAUGAUGUGUCAUUGGUUCUCUUCAAAAUGGAAGACAAUAAUAACUCAUAUAGAACCUGACUGUGUCCUGUAACCAAUGCAGUUUUUUCAGUAUAUAGUUUAUGUUUAUCCUCUCAAAGAGGUCUCAUUUUAGGUAGACCAUCUAUAUAUGUUGGUCCUAGGUUUGAAUCAGUAUAAUAGUAUGGUUAAAUCAUAGAAUUUAAAAUUAGAAGGGAUCUUAGCAACCAGUCUAAUCAAUCCAAAGGGAAAAAAAGAAAACUAUUUGUUUUUAAGGAAUUUAUAUCCUAUUAGCAAAGACAACACACAUACAUAUAUAUAUAUAUAUUUAUAUACACAAAUAUAUAAAUAUGUAACAGUUUUUUGACUGUUUAGGAAAGAACACCAGUAAUUAUGGAAGAGGUGAGGAAAGAGUUUGUGUACAAGGUUGUACAAGAACAGAAUCUUGAAGGAAAUCAAGAAUUCUAUGAGGUGGAGGUAAGGAUAGAAGACAUUUAAGACACAGGUGGCAGGCAGUGAAAACAUGGAAAUAGCAGAUGAUAGCUGUGUAUGAAGAAGAAGAAGGCCAUGUUGACUAAUCUGGAAAGUGUGAAAAAGGAAGGACAAUAAUGAAAUUGAAAAGAUAGGUUCAAGCCAGGUGAUAAAGUUUAAAAUGGAAACAUAAGAGUUCUAUAUUUAUUGUAUUCUAGAAACAAUAGGGAGACACUCAUUUUAUAGAAAAGGAAACCGAUAUUCCCAAGAGGGAAAGUGACUUGGCCCAGAUCAUGUGAGAUAGU
ensembl:lncRNA